rnacentral:lncRNA from 1 species
UGGCUUAUGAUUAAAUUUGUUUGUUAGCUGGGCACUGAGUGUAUUCUAUCACCAGUGAGGUAAUCCUCACAGCACAUUCCACGUUCCUGGAAAACUACUGGCCUUCUGGGCUGCCAUGUGUUUAUCCAGCAUAGGUUGUGUGGCACAGCACAGUUAUGAACACCACAAAAUUGAGCUGGAAAUCUCUAUGAGAUGAGAAGAAGCAUGACUCACUUCUCCCUGCCCUAGGGAUUACUUCUAGCUUUCAUUUUGAGGAACAUAUUCUCUUUGCUGCCCGAGUUCUUCUUUUUCAUAUACUGGAAACCAGUACUUAGGGAAGGGAUUAACUUUGUGCUUUGGAAUGCCUGUCAAGGAGAGAACUAACAUACAACACCAAAGACUGAGACACUAGUCUGAGAUCAGUGGGCAAGCCAGAUGAGCUCUUCUUUGGCUGAGUAACCCCAUUUUUGAAGCUGAUACUGUUGCAAUGAAAGAUAGAAAAAUGCAGACUCAUAGACUAAUGUCUUAUACAUCACCUCAUGGUUAGAGCAUAAAAGCUGAGGCACACACUUCCCGAUACUCGAUGUAUAUGGUAUGGUAAGACACUUUUGGGAGCUGACCUUAAUAACACAAGACUACCACCGGCUGGCUGGUUCGCUCUGUGUUCCCGGCUAGCAGCCGACCCACUGCAGCUGAGCUGCUCAGAACCAUCUACCCAGCUCAGAGAAACUGGCUGCUGCUGCGGGAAAGCCGCAAAGCCGUAUACUCUCUAAGAUAAGCGCAACCGCUUUUGUGACCUCUCUCCACCGCUGACCGACUGCUGCCAAACGCCUCGGAAUAACUGAACGCCUGUGCUACCUGCUGGUCAAAUAUAUUUACUGCAUCUGGAGUAGAAAUCAGGUAAAAUUAUGGCGGAAUAUUUAUCAUUUGCUAAAAUUGGUAAUGUUUUUGCUUAUUACGUGAAUUCACUGUUUGAGGAGGAUGCUAAUUUGCCAAUUACUGGCCUAUAUGCUGUAAUGGCAGUUAGCUUGCUGGUACAAAUAGUAUUACUAGCCAGAGGACUCAGGAACAGGGACAGAAAUAACCUCACCACCUGCUUGCAGGAAAUAACAGCUUUACGCAAUGAGGUUUUGGAAAACAGAUUAGGUCAGACCACAAUUGUGCAGCAAGUGGAACAGAAAUUGGAUGAUAAGCUUGGCUCUGUGUCCAAUACACUAAAGACAGAGCUGUCUGAUGAGAUGCAGCUUAUUUAUGAUAAGAUAAACACAGAGAGAUCCUCCAUGUCUGAGGCCUUAGAGGCUAGGCUGUCAGAAGACCAUGACCAGCUAAAGAAUAUCUGUAGCCAGCUAGAAACUCAGAUAGGCAAUGUUACUCAUCAACUAGAUGCAACGGUGCAAAAUACCCAGCAUAGGGUUGAAGAAUUGGACAAUGCCAUUCAAUCAGUUAUUGAAGCAUCCAAGGUAGCAGAUCAGAAAUUUGAGUCUAGAUUUGAAUGUUUGGAAGAUAAUUUACAGUACAGGGCUGACAGAUUACAUAGGUCCAUACGGUCGAUUGCUGAGGACUCAAAAUCAGCAAAUCAUGACCUGGAAUCUAGACUCCAAUACCUAGAAGGCAGUUUCCAUGCCAUCCAGAUUCUGCCUAAGGAUGAUCGUAUUAAAGACCUAGAAAAACAUGUAGAUGAGCAGUUAGAGCAAUUUACAGAUUCACUAACAAUCCCAGGCAACUACUCCACCUAGGUAUCAUGACUAUUCUUCUAAGGUUGUUACUCGUACACCAUUAGUGUACCCAGCUACCAUGGUAGAAAAGCCAGCUUCUAAGAAACACCCUCAUGGACGAAUGGUUUAUGAAUGGCAACCUAUACAGCCGAAGGAUCUUAAGAAUAUUAAAGAAUCAGUUGUCUCAUAUGGUCUCCAUAGCCCAUACGUAAAACAGCUAUUACAUUCAUGGGCAACCUUUAACAGAGUGACACCCACAGAUUGGGAACAAUUGGUAGCAGCUGUACUUGAGAAUUCAUGCCAAUUCCAGUGGAAGGCAUUGGUAAGGGAAGAGGCAAAGCUCCUUGAGCGUCAGGGCAUAAAGGAAGGUUUUGAAGCCCCUCUAGAUAAGCUUCUUGGUCAGGGUAUUUAUGCUGACCCACAGGUUCAGGCUGAAUAUGAUGACGAUAUACUGUCUCUAUGCAGGAAAGCAGCAUUAAAUGCCUGGGAUAAGGUUCGUGAGCCAGGAGAACGCCUAGAAGCUUAUACCAGAAUAGAACAGGGACCUACAGAACAGUUCCAGGACUUCUUACAAAGGUUAACUAGGGCAGUAGAAAUACAGGUAACAGAUCCAGAAACAAGACAAUCAAUUAUAUAUACAAUAGCUUAUGAAAAUGCAAACCCUAUAUGCAAAAGAAUACUUUUGCCUUUAAAGAUCAGAUCAGCUCCGCUAGAAGAAUGGGUUUUGUAUGCAGCCAACAUUGACUAUAAUGUGCAAGAUACUGGAGCUUGGGUAGGAGAAGCCAUCUCCAAAGGUUUAAAACGG